GAUGAAGAACGUAGCGAAAUGCGAUACGUAAUGUGAAUUGCAGAAUUCAGUGAAUCAUCGAAUCUUUGAACGCACAUUGCGCCCGCCAGCACUCUGGCGGGCAUGUCUGUUCGAGCGUCAUUUCAACCAUCAAGCCCCAGGCUUGCGUUGGAGCCCUGCGGCUGCCGCAGCCUCCUAAAAGCAGUGGCGGGCUCGCUAUCACACCGAGUGCAGUAGAUUACUCUUCGCUCAGGGCGUGCAGCGGGUUCCGGCCGUGAAACCCCCUACUUUUAAAGGUUGACCUCGGAUCAGGUAGGAAUACCCGCUGAACUUAAGAAUAUCAAUAAGCGGAGGA
rnacentral:misc_RNA from 1 species